GGUCCCUCCCUAGGUUGUUAAUUGCCACACCCCUAGGCGCAAUGCUUAAAAAAUAAACGUGCAAAAUACCGAAUUUAACUUUCCGCGGGUGAAUAACGAGUAUUACGCCAUGCGCUGGUGGCCCAAAAUACAGCCCUCAUUGACUGUAAAGUCCACA